rnacentral:rRNA from 1 species
AUUGAACGCUGGCGGCAGGCCUAAUACAUGCAAGUCGAACGGUAACAUAAGAGAAGCUUGCUUUUCUUGAUGACGAGUGGCGGACGGGUGAGUAAGAUUUGGGAAACUACCUGAUAGAGGGGGACAACAGUUGGAAACGACUGCUAAUACCGCAUACAGCCUCAGGGUGAAAGAAGCGAUUCGCUAUCAGAUGUGCCCAAACGGGAUUAGCUAGUAGGUGAGGUAAAGGCUCACCUAGGCGACGAUCUCUAGCUGGUCUGAGAGGAUGAUCAGCCACAUUGGGACUGAGACACGGCCCAGACUCCUACGGGAGGCAGCAGUAGGGAAUAUUGCACAAUGGAGGAAACUCUGAUGCAGCCAUGCCGCGUGUGUGAAGAAGGCCUUCGGGUUGUAAAGCACUUCGGUAGGGGAGGAAAAAAAAGUAGAAC